GCGGCGGACGGGUGAGUAACACGUGGGCAACCUGCCCUACAGACUGGGAUAACUCCGGGAAACCGGAGCUAAUACCGGGUAAUACAUAGCAUCGCAUGAUGCAACGUUGAAAGUUGGCCUUUGGCUAACACUGUAGGAUGGGCCCGCGGCGCAUUAGCUAGUUGGUAAGGUAACGGCUUACCAAGGCCACGAUGCGUAGCCGACCUGAGAGGGUGAUCGGCCACACUGGGACUGAGACACGGCCCAGACUCCUACGGGAGGCAGCAGUAGGGAAUCUUCCGCAAUGGACGAAAGUCUGACGGAGCAACGCCGCGUGAGUGACGAAGGCCUUCGGGUCGUAAAGCUCUGUUGUUAGGGAAGAACAAGUACCGUUCGAAUAGGGCGGUACCUUGACGGUACCUAACCAGAAAGCCACGGCUAACUACGUGCCAGCAGCCGCGGUAAUACGUAGGUGGCAAGCGUUGUCCGGAAUUAUUGGGCGUAAAGCGCGCGCAGGCGGUCUCUUAAGUCUGAUGUGAAAGCCCACGGCUCAACCGUGGAGGGCCAUUGGAAACUGGGGGACUUGAGUGCAGAAGAGGAGAGUGGAAUUCCACGUGUAGCGGUGAAAUGCGUAGAUAUGUGGAGGAACACCAGUGGCGAAGGCGGCUCUCUGGUCUGUAACUGACGCUGAGGCGCGAAAGCGUGGGGAGCGAACAGGAUUAGAUACCCUGGUAGUCCACGCCGUAAACGAUGAGUGCUAGGUGUUGGGGGGGUUCCACCCUCAGUGCUGAAGUUAACACAUUAAGCACUCCGCCUGGGGAGUACGACCGCAAGGUUGAAACUCAAAGGAAUUGACGGGGGGCCCGCACAAGCAGUGGAGCAUGUGGUUUAAUUCGAAGCAACGCGAAGAACCUUACCAGGUCUUGACAUCCUCUGCCACUCCUAGAGAUAGGACG
rnacentral:rRNA from 1 species